UACGGAGGGUGCAAGCGUUAAUCGGAAUUACUGGGCGUAAAGCGCGCGUAGGUGGUUUGUCACGCUGGAUGUGAAAGCCCUGGGCUUAACCUGGGAACGGCAUCCAGAACGGGCAGGCUAGAGUACAGUAGAGGGGUGUGGAAUUUCCUGUGUAGCGGUGAAAUGCGUAGAUAUAGGAAGGAACACCAGUGGCGAAGGCGGCACCCUGGACUGAUACUGACACUGAGGUGCGAAAGCGUGGGGAGCAAACAGG
rnacentral:rRNA from 1 species